GGCAGGGCCAGAGAGACACGCCAAGGAGCUACUUAUGCGUCUGGAGCCCUGUCCUGGGGAGCCGCUGAACAGAAUCUGCCUUUGUCCACACUUUACUUUACGCGGCUUAGAGAUGCUCACGGUUGCGGGAGGGAGAUCUGGUUGGCUGCAACUCUGUAAUCCCUCCCCAAGAAGAACAACAGCUGAACCUCAUCACGACCCUGUGUUUCGUGUGUCGAUUCUUGCAUUAGUGACGUGACAUUUAUUUGCUUGGUGAGCUUCUACCUGCAAGGUUAACAAGAAUUGUCCACAGGAACUGGAAGAUGAGGAUGUGCUUGCUCAUUCACUCCUGUUACGAUUCAACAAUAAUAAAGAAGUGCCUAAAAUAUCCUAAGCACUGUAGUAAUGACUGUGGGGAGGCUGACAUCCUUAAGUGUGCUGGGAGGCCCAAGAGGGCACAAGUUGCAAGCAAACGAUUGUUUGAAUAAAUAAAUUAAAUAAAUAAAAACAUGUGUGCUUUGAGUGUGUCUUUUCUUAAAUCAAAUGAGAGCCACCGAGGCUUAAAUUUGGUAUCCAGUCUGAAAAUGCAGUUUCUGACCGAAAAUGUACGUCUAUCAAGUAAUGGAACUUAUUUUUCUUGAAUAUCUUAUAACUGAAUCAGCAUGAACUUAGAGCUAUGUUAGGAAUGGCAUUUAUGGAAUAUGUUCAUAGUGCCCCAAAAUAUCUUCUUUAAAAAAAUCUAUCCAUGAGUAGCAGUAUAAUUAUGGAUAAAUUAACUCCAUUACUUCUUACUUAGAUGUAUUUACCUAACAACCUAUGGAUUUGGAUGUAUGCAUGUCCGCACACACACAUAUCAUGUCUUAUAACAAAUGUAAUAAUACUUAAUUGUUCAUUGAGUAUAGUGCUGGUUUAUACAAAUAAAAGCCUAACCUUCAGUAAUUCCUAACCCACACCUCAUAUAUAGCUUAAAAGUGAGUAACCAUAUAAUUUACUAUCUAAAUCCAGAUACUUUGAGCGUGGAAAGCAGCACUAUUAAUAGUUACCCUGGGAUAAGAGGCAUAAAUGGGGACUAUUCUGGGGAAACCAGGACAAAGAUCAUCUAACAGAAAGGCAGAAAAAAAAACAAACCACUAAAUAAAAACAUUCUCUGGUCUUUCAGUUUUUCCGAAUUAAGUUCUUAAAACAUUGCAUUUUUUUCUGAGUGUAUUUGAUAAAGUUCUGUCUGUAUUUCAGGAAAAUGAUGCUGUUGGGGAAGUUCCUACUGUUUAUCGGUCCUAAGGAAUGAAUUUUGUCCCAAAUUAGGGGUACUGGGGCUUUCUGUAGGCAAAACUGGUAUUUUGGAAACAAUAAAAAGGCUUGAUAGGGU
rnacentral:lncRNA from 1 species